rnacentral:tmRNA from 2 species
GGGGGCGAUCGGCUUCGACGUGGGUCGUGAAUCUUUAGGUGCAUGCCGAGGGGCAGAUCACCUCGUAAAACCAACUGCAAACCAUAUAGUUGCCAAUGAAGACAACUACGCUCUAGCUGCUUAAAAAACAGACUAAAGCCUUCUGCCCGGCACGUGCUUGUGCGUCCGGUUCCAGGAGUCAUCCACACAAGAUCGCGGAAUGGACUGUCUAGGGCCUGAACGCUAAAACUUAACUAGACUGGCUGUGAGUUUUCCCUGCCCGUCGGGUAGCUUUCAGCAAGAUUAAAGACGGAAUAAGCAUGUAGAGCUUAAAGCGGAUCACUUGCGGACGCGGGUUCAAUUCCCGCCGCCUCCACCA